GCCAGACUCCUACGGGAGGCAGCAGUGGGGAAUAUUGGGCAAUGGAGGAAACUCUGACCCAGCAAUGCCGCGUGAAUGAAGAAGGUCUUCGGAUUGUAAAGUUCUUUAGUCAGGGAAGAAGUCAAUGACGGUACCUGAAGAAUAAGCUCCGGCUAACUACGUGCCAGCAGCCGCGGUAAUACGUAGGGAGCAAGCGUUGUUCGGAAUGACUGGGCGUAAAGGGUGCGUAGGCGGUGUAGCAAGUUAGAAGUGAAAUACCUAGAGCUUAACUCAGGUGCUGCUUCUAAAACUGCUAUACUUGAGUGCAGUAGAGGAAAGUGGAAUUCCUAGUGUAGCGGUGGAAUGCGUAGAUAUUAGGAGGAACAUCAGUGGCGAAGGCGACUUUCUGGACUGUAACUGACGCUGAGGCACGAAAGUGUGGGGAGCAAACAGGAUUAGAUACCCCAGUAAUU
rnacentral:rRNA from 1 species